CCGCCGGGGGAUGUGGUUCUGGGCCCCGCGCAGCCGGGGCCGCUCACCGGCCGGAUUCCUCUGGGGACCAGCAAGAGUCACGGCGUUCUGUGUCCAAGCGGCACGUUAAACAGCGGCACCACACUGCGGGUCACCAGUGUGUGACCUCACGUGCUCACGCCUUGCCUCGGGCACGGCAAGUCAGGGAGAAACUGUUGUGCACAGCACAGAACAACUGUGCUCACGAGUGCUGUAGAACGGCGUGUCUGAUCUAGAGCAGCACCGACAGGGUGGGUGUUGUAGAACAAGGAGCUCUGGAGCAGCACUGACAGGAUCCUCAGUGUCAUCUGUGAACUCACUGAGUUGUCCAGAUCAUCAAUAAAGAUAUGAAGCAGGACUGGGCCCAGUCCUGAGCCCUGGGGAACACCACUAGUGGCUGGUCCCAGCUGGAUGUGGCACCAUUCCACCACUCUCUGGGCCUGGCCAUCCAGACAGUUUUUAACCCAGCCAAGAGUGCACCUGUUCAGCUGCAGCUUCUCCAGGAGAAUCCCGUGGCAGACAGUAUGGAAGGCUUUACUGAAGUCCAGGAAGACCCAUCCACAGCCUUUCCCUCGCUCACUAGAUGGGUCACCUGCCAUAAAGAGAGAUCAGUGCCACAGUUCAAACUCAUCCAAUACAGAGGAGAUCAAAGCCUUUGCUUGCUGGGAGAAGGCUGGAAAGAGGAAGUCAUUCUCUUGGACCCAAAUCUCUCUGUCUCAGUAGGCCACACCACAGUUGUACAGACAGCAUUUCUCUCCUUCCCUCACAGCUUAAACUCAGUGCUGCAUUUCUGAUUUCUAAAGAGUAAACUUCAAAAAAAAUCUUCAGUUGUAAAAGACUGAAGGUAAUGCAUUAGAAUUGACUCAUUCAGCAGGUCACUGAACUACAGGCAGUCACGAAAAGGAAAUGAAUCUCCAAGCAAAACCAAAAUAGAGAACCAAACAGAGGAA